GGGGCCGUCGUUCAACGGAUAGGACAUAUCCCCUCUAAGGAUACAAUGGUGGUUCGAUUCCACCCGGCCUCGCCA
rnacentral:tRNA from 1 species